rnacentral:rRNA from 1 species
CCUACGGGUGGCUGCAGUGAGGAAUAUUGGUCAAUGGGCGCGAGCCUGAACCAGCCAAGUAGCGUGAAGGAUGACUGCCCUACGGGUUGUAAACUUCUUUUAUAAAGGAAUAAAGUGAGGCACGUGUGCCUUUUUGUAUGGACUUUAUGAAUAAGGAGCGGCUAACUCCGUGCCAGCAGCCGCGGUAAUACGGAGGAUCCGAGCGUUAUCCGGCUUGAUUGGGGUUAGAGGGAGCGUAGAUGGGUUGUUAAGUCAGUUGUGAAAGUUUGCGGCUCAACCGUAAAAUUGCCAUUGAUACUGGCAGUCUUGAGUACCGUUGAGGUAGGCGGACUUCGUUGUGUAGCGGUG